rnacentral:rRNA from 1 species
AUUGAACGCUGGCGGCAUGCUUUACACAUGCAAGUCGAACGGCAGCGGGGGCUUCGGCCUGCCGGCGAGUGGCGAACGGGUGAGUAAUGCAUCGGAACGUACCCAGUCAUGGGGGAUAACUACGCGAAAGCGUAGCUAAUACCGCAUACGCCCUGAGGGGGAAAGCGGGGGAUCGCAAGACCUCGCGUGAUUGGAGCGGCCGAUGUCGGAUUAGCUAGUUGGUGGGGUAAAGCCUACCAAGGCGACGAUCCGUAGCGGGUCUGAGAGGAUGAUCCGCCACACUGGGACUGAGACACGGCCCAGACUCCUACGGGAGGCAGCAGUGGGGAAUUUUGGACAAUGGGCGCAAGCCUGUUCCAGCCAUGCCGCGUGAGUGAAGAAGGCCU